UUGCUCGCUGCAUCGGUUUUGAAAGAAUCCCUGAACUCCGAUGAUGGCGUACCAGGUGUCACACUGGCUCCGAACAAUUCUCAUGGUGGUGGUGCUCUUGUGAUCGAGAUGGACUCCAGUAGCUACUACAGCAGCCCAUCAGAGUGUCAGUCUGAGACAGUUUUACUCCCCAACAAUGCUCAAGCUCUCAAGGACUGCACGUGCGUAUCUGGGUCGGACUACGACUACGUCGACGAAGGGCGAGAAUGUGUGUAUUCCUCAAAUGCUUCGGUGAUCCAAGUUGGUACAUGUGGCGACGGAGAGUGCACCGGGAAGAACUUGACGACGCACGAAGUUUCGAAGAAUCCUCGCAAACAACAUUACAAUCCGGAGGAUGACCUAUGCAUGCAGUUGACGACGAAGGUAAAUCAGGAUUUUUUUCCGGUCAGUCGUUGCCAGGUAUAUUGCCGAGGCUGGGGAGUUCGUCCUUUGAAUGACGGAAGACAGUGCGUGUUACGAACGAAGGAGAUAAGGUCUGUGUUCGGCAAGAAGAAACGGGUUGUCACGAAGACCGGCGUCUGCAGACUCGGUGUUUGCGUGGAAGCCAAUAUGACACCCUGGAGGCAUCCUAAAGGCUGCAAAGACAGGAACGUGAAGCACGGCGGGAAGAUUCUUGCCGAGAACUGCACCAGCUUCUGCGAUAAUGGAGUCAAAGAAGAACGUGAGGAAGGAACUAUUUGCGUGUUAGAGAAAAAGAGCAGCUGGAUAAAAGACGUCACCAUCAAGGGAAUAUGUAGAAGAGGAAUGUGCAUAAAAACGCCUCCACUGGAUGGAACGCUAGUUGUAUGGGACCCUAAUGUCAGAUGCGCUGUUUAUCAAGAACAGGUCACCACAACGAAAUUUGCGGCUCCUAUGUGCUCAAUGUACUGCAGCGGAAGAUUCAAACCGAUGCAAGAUGGGACACCCUGCGUGCUCGAGCGUUCGUUUGAUUUUUGGUGGAAAUCUAGAGUAAAGCGGCUGGGCGUAUGCAGAUUAGGAACGUGCAUUGAGAAAGGUCCAUCGGUGCCUGUCGCUCAUCGCGGGUUCCAUCGCGGCUGCGUAGCCCACAACGUCCACGUCGAAACAGGAAAGCUCUCAGUGGCUGCAUGUUGUCAGGUGGAAUGUGCGAACUUUGUGUUCGAAAAUCAAAUGAACGGAACUUUGUGUCUGCUACAGUACGAUGCCUUCCGAACAUUUUUAGGAAGAUGGAAAAAAAGAUACGUCAUUGGCGAGUGCCAUUCAGGAAGCUGUGUACUGGGGCGAUACUCUCGCGUGAUAGACGCACCCUGAUCACAGUAAUACCAAGGAGAAGCAAGAAAAAAAAAAUGAUUUUUUUGUAUAUUUUGAAGACACUCUCAACGCAUUUCAUUAA